rnacentral:lncRNA from 1 species
GGAAGAUGCUAACAGCCAACCUCCAUUUCACUCUUUGCUACUUCCUUUUUGCUUCCCUUUAACGAAAAGUGACCACAUACUCCUACUUAAGUCACCUCACCCUUUUAUUGCUCUCAAGACUAUCAACAUACUUAUAACAUCCAUUCCUAUCUUCUUGAUCUUAGGCCUUAACAUUGCCACCCCCUUUAUGUGAAGUUUCGGGUUUUUCUCGGCUGCCGCCACCCCGUUGCCAAUGGCUCCUGGCGGUGUGUGGCGGCAUGUGGUGGCAAGUGGCGGUGGCACCACCUAUCAGAAGCCUUUUCCGGUACUGCAUGGUGAGGAAUGGUCAUCUUAAGGGUGGUGGCAUAUUUUCAUUAAAAGGGCAACUUCUAUCCUUUGGCAUUUUUAUCAGUUCCUUAGAGUACUCUCUCCUUGAUGGGGGGUGGCUCAAGAGUAGAAUUAAUCUCAAGGGCGAGGCAGAUUAUGCUAAUAUAUCCUGCUUUUAUAUUUGAAAUUUGUAAUGCAUUAGUGUUAAUUAAUGUACUUUUGUGUCUUGUUUAAGAAUUAUUACUUUUGUGUCUUGUUCUUGUCUGCAUUUUCCAUGGAAUAAAUCUGCCCCUUCACUUACUCCAUCAGUUUUUUGACUUCAAUUUGCUCAAGACCAUGGUAGUCUUGUCUCGUCUACUAACUUACAUAGAAAAUAAUGAAAUCUAACUGCUUUGUAUUAUGUCGAGUAGUCUCUAUUGGGAGUGAGUAUGUUCACG